rnacentral:rRNA from 1 species
AUUGAACGCUGGCGGCAUGCUUUACACAUGCAAGUCGAACGGUAACAGGCCUUCGGGUGCUGACGAGUGGCGAACGGGUGAGUAAUGCAUCGGAACGUGCCCAGAGGUGGGGGAUAACGCAGCGAAAGCUGUGCUAAUACCGCAUGUGAUCUGAGGAUGAAAGCGGGGGACCAGGCAGCAAUGUUUGGCCUCGCGCCUUUGGAGCGGCCGAUGUCAGAUUAGGUAGUUGGUGGGGUAAAGGCCUACCAAGCCGACGAUCUGUAGCUGGUCUGAGAGGACGACCCGCCACACUGGGACUGAGCCACGGCCCAGACUCCUACGGGAGGCAGCAGUGGGGAAUUUUGGACAAUGGGCGCAAGCCUGAUCCAGCAAUGCCGCGUGCGGGAAGAAGGCCUUCGGGUUGUAAACCGCUUUUGUACGGAACGAAAAGGCUCUGGCUAAUACCUGGGGCUGAUGACGGUACCGUAAGAAUAAGCACCGGCUAACUACGUG